CAUACACACUGGAUUCAGGUCUACAUGUGGUGAUAAUUCAUUCAAUACCAAUAAAGGGUGCAUUUCCAGUGCUAAAGCACAGAAAGGACACCUUUGAACAGUGAAGGCAAGCCACAGGCCAGAUUUCUGCAGGGAUUUUUGAAGAGGAAAGGGCACAAAUCAAAAAGCAUUGAAAACACUAUUUGACUGACAGACUGUUUUUAACUAACCCAUGAUGAUGAUGGUGAACUGGAAUGAAGAAUGAGAAAGAAUACUAAACUGUCAGUGCCCGUGUCUACGAGACUGGUGAGAACAGCUCUUCUUAUCUGUUAAAAUUGGUGGAUCUGGCAAAACAAAAACUGAAACAAAGGCUCUCCCAAAUCCCAUCCCAAUAACCUGUCAGUGCUCCCUGGAGCAGCAUUGGUGGUUUCUGACCCUGCACUGGAAUCACUCUGCUGGGAUGUUUUCUGCUCAGUGCUGGGGCCAGUUUUGCUUCCUGAACUUCAAGGGCGACAUCCUAGUUAUACAGAAAAGAAAAUGGCCUUGUUGUGAAUCC